rnacentral:tRNA from 1 species
GUCGAUGUGGCGAAAUGGUAGACGCGCAUGUUUCAGGAGCAUGUGAAGAGAUUCAUGAGGGUUCGAGUCCCUCCAUCGACA